UUUUCCUGAGAAAUUGUUACUCCAAGAUUCCAGAGAAAGUCUAAGCAAGGAAAGAUCAUGACCAUAAGCAGACUUGCCUUUAUAUCUUUCAGCACCAGUCCUUCCAGCCCCUCCCGGAUGACUCGAUUGAUCAUAUCUGCCAGAUCUGAAGCUUUCUGGAAGGAAAAGGAAACUGUUGUGAUAAGAUUACCCUACCAGAUAGAGGUGUGUUCAUGGACCUUCCUGUGCCUACCGUUACAGCUCUCAGGCAGGAGCAGAAAUGCAUACAGAAAAUGAAGUGACUGCAAGGGAAAUGAACAAGAAGCUGGUUUCAGCAGGUAGAAGACGGUGGAGCAGACCCAACUGUCCCUCAGUUCCUUCACCAUACAGCAUCCAGAUGAUAUAAGACUCUGUUGUAGCGGAAGAGGAGGAGGGCUGGUCAUGGAAUCCAGGUGGACUACACACUCACUAAGGCAAUUCUCCACGCCAGCAUCAGGUUUCCCCAAUAUUCUCACAGCAAAAGGCAACCUUCAGUGGAAGGAAAAGACUUGACAAAGCUGCAGGCUCCCUUAUGAUCCCUCCCUAACCAUUUUUCAUUUCUUCCCACUCAACUUCCAGAGGCAGAUGCCAAGAUGGAGCCCAUCCCACGAGCCACAAACCGGAUUCGGCCUCCUGAAGUACACUACAACCAGUUCAUCCAAAUAAAACAAAUUCCAAGUCCCCUGAUUUAACUAAUUUGAAAUUUGUUUUACUAUGCAACAGGUGAACUUGAGGGGACACAAUCCAAUUUCCAGUUGCCUAUGGAUAAACUAGGUUCUACUGUAAUAAUGUAAUUACUCUGUGUACCCAGUGAGCAUCUUUUUGUCUUGAUGUUAGAGACAAGAGGAUCAAUACCCUAGCAAUAACGUAAUUAACUAAACCCAGGCCUCUUUACUGCUCACAAGGUGAUCAUUCCCCUCUAUUCGACAUUGGUGAGGCCUCAUCUGGAGUACUGUGUCCAGUUUUGGGCCCCACACUACAAGAAGGAUGUGGAAAAAUUGGAAAGUCCAGCGGAGGGCAACAAAAAUGAU